rnacentral:rRNA from 1 species
GACGAACGCUGGCGGCGUGCUUAACACAUGCAAGUCGAACGGGGUUAUUUCUUCGGAGAUAACUUAGUGGCGAACGGGUGAGUAACGCGUGAGAAACCUGCCUUUCAGUGGGGGACAACAGUUGGAAACGACUGCUAAUACCGCAUAAUGUCAUUUGGGGGCAUCCCCGAAUGACCAAAGAUUUAUUGCUGAAAGAUGGUCUCGCGUCUGAUUAGCUAGAUGGCGGGGUAACGGCCCACCAUGGCGACGAUCAGUAGCCGGUCUGAGAGGAUGAACGGCCACAUUGGGACUGAGAUACGGCCCAGACUCCUACGGGAGGCAGCAGUGGGGAAUAUUGGGCAAUGGGGGAAACCCUGACCCAGCAACGCCGCGUGAAGGAAGAAGGCCUUCGGGUUGUAAACUUCUUUUACCAGGGACGAACAAAUGACGGUACCUGGAGAAAAAGCAACGGCUAACUACGUGCCAGCCGCCGCCGUAA